GAUGAACGCUGGCGGCGUGCCUAAUACAUGCAAGUCGAGCGAACAGACGCGGAGCUUGCUCCUCUGACGUUAGCGGCGGACGGGUGAGUAACACGUGGAUAACCUCCCUAUAAGACUGGGAUAACUUCGGGAAACCGGAGCUAAUACCGGAUAAUAUAUUGAACCGCAUGGUUCAAUAGUGAAAGACGGUUUUGCUGUCACUUAUCGAUGGAUCCGCGCCGCAUUAGCUAGUUGGUAAGGUAACGGCUUACCAAGGCAACGAUGCGUAGCCGACCUGAGAGGGUGGUCGGCCACACUGGAACUGAGACACGGUCCAGACUCCUACGGGAGGCAGCAGUAGGGAAUCUUCCGCAAAGGGCGAAAGCCUGACGGAGCAACGCCGCGGGAGUGAUGAAGGUCUUCGGAUCGUAAAACUCUGUUAUUAGGGAAGAACAAAUGUGUAAGUAACUAUGCACGUCUUGACGGUACCUAAUCAGAAAGCCACGGCUAACUACGUG
rnacentral:rRNA from 1 species